rnacentral:tRNA from 1 species
AAAAAUUUAGUUAAUAACAUAACAUUAGUUUGUCAUACUAAAAUAAUUUAAGUAAUAAUUUUUU